GCUCCUGCAGCUCCGAAACUUUGGUUGCUUUGUUUCCCAUGUUAACCUUGUGGGAACAGGCACAGUUUCAUCCUAAUCCAGGGAAACUUGAAGUCCUUCAUCCUCAGCUUAAACAGUUCAG